AUAUUGCGCAAUGGGCGAAAGCCUGACGCAGCAACGCCGCGUGGGGGAUGAAGGCUCUCGGGUUGUAAACCCCUUUCAGCAGGGACGAAUCCAGACGGUACCUGCAGAAGAAGCCCCGGCCAACUACGUGCCAGCAGCCGCGGUAACACGUAGGGGGCGAGCGUUGUCCGGAUUCAUUGGGCGUAAAGAGCUCGUAGGCGGUUCGGUAAGUCGGGUGUGAAAACUCUGGGCUCAACCCAGAGACACCACCCGAUACUGCCGUGACUAGAGUCUGGUAGGGGAGCGUGGAAUUCCCGGUGUAGCGGUGAAAUGCGCAGAUAUCGGGAGGAACACCAGUGGCGAAGGCGGCGCUCUGGGCCAGUACUGACGCUGAGGAGCGAAAGCGUGGGGAGCGAACAGG
rnacentral:rRNA from 1 species